rnacentral:rRNA from 1 species
CCCGCACAAGCGGUGGAGCAUGUGGUUUAAUUCGACGCAACGCGAAGAACCUUACCAGGGCUUGACAUCCCCUGACCGCGUAUGAAAGUACGUUUUCACCCUCGGGUGACAGGGAGACAGGUGGUGCAUGGUUGUCGUCAGCUCGUGUCGUGAGAUGUUGGGUUAAGUCCCGCAACGAGCGCAACCCCUACGUUUAGUUGCUAACGCGUGAAGGCGAGCACUCUAGACGAACUGCCGUUGACAAAACGGAGGAAGGUGGGGAUGACGUCAAAUCAUCAUGCCUCUUAUGACCUGGGCUACACACGUGCUACAAUGGGCGGUACAAAGGGUCGCGAACCCGCGAGGGGGAGCCAAUCCCAAAAAGCCGCUCUCAGUUCGGAUUGCAGGCUGCAACUCGCCUGCAUGAAGCCGGAAUCGCUAGUAAUCGCGGAUCAGCAUGCCCGCGGUCGAAUACGUUCCGGGCCUU